GAUGAAGAACGUAGCGAAAUGCGAUACGUAAUGUGAAUUGCAGAAUUCAGUGAAUCAUCGAAUCUUUGAACGCAUAUUGCGCUCUCUGGUAUUCCGGAGAGCAUGCUUGUUUGAGUAUCAGUAAACACCUCAACUUCCAUAUCUUUUUUGAAAUGGAGUUGGACUUGAGUGAUCCCAACGCUUUUCCUCACCGAAAAGUGGCGGGUUACUUGAAAUGCAGGUGCAGCUGGACUUUUCUCUGAGCUAUAAGCAUAUCUAUUUAGUCUGCCUAAAAAACAGAUUAUUACCUUUGCUGCAGCUAACAUAAAGGAGAUUAGUUCUAGUGCUGACUGAUGCAGGAUUCACAAAGACGGCUUCGGCCGACUUUGUAAACUCGAUCUCAAAUCAAGUAAGACUACCCGCUGAACUUAAGCAUAUCAAUAAGCGGAGGA
rnacentral:misc_RNA from 1 species